rnacentral:rRNA from 1 species
UGGGGAAUCUUGCACAAUGGGGGAAACCCUGAUGCAGCGACGCCGCGUGAGCGAUGAAGGUUUUCGAAUCGUAAAGCUCUGUCCUAUGGGAAGAUAAUGACGGUACCAUGGGAGGAAGCCCCGGCUAACUACGUGCCAGCAGCCGCGGUAAUACGUAGGGGGCGAGCGUUGUCCGGAAUUACUGGGCGUAAAGGGUUCGCAGGCGGCAUGGCAAGUCCGAUGUAAAAGGCGAAGGCUCAACCUUCGUAAGCAUCGGAAACUGUCAAGCUUGAGUGAAGGAGAGGCAAGUGGAAUUCCUAGUGUAGCGGUGGAAUGCGUAGAUAUUAGGAGGAAUACCGGUGGCGAAGGCGACUUGCUGGCCUUCAACUGACGCUGAGGAACGAAAGCGUGGGUAGCAAACAGG